rnacentral:rRNA from 1 species
GACGAACGCUGGCGGCGUGCUUAACACAUGCAAGUCGAACGGUGAAGCGCCUUCCUUUUUGGUGGGUGUGGAUGAGUGGCGAACGGGUGAGUAACACGUGAGUAACCUGCCCCCUUCUUCUGGAUAACCGCAUGAAAGUGUGGCUAAUACGGGAUAUUCUGGGUCUGUCGCAUGAUGGGUCUGGGAAAGAUAUUGUUUCGGUGGGGGAUGGGCUCGCGGCCUAUCAGCUUGUUGGUGGGGUGAUGGCCUACCAAGGCGGUGACGGGUAGCCGGCCUGAGAGGGUGGACGGUCACACUGGGACGGAGACACGGCCCGGACUCCUACGGGAGGCAGCAGUGGGGAUUAUUGAACAAUGGGCGCAAGCCUGAUGCAGCGACGCCGCGUGAGGGAUGGAGGCCUUCGGGUUGUGAACCUCUUUCGCCAGUGAAGCAGGCCUGCCUCGUUUGUGGGUGGGUUGACGGUAGCUGGAUAAGAAGCGCCGGCUAACUACGUG